rnacentral:misc_RNA from 1 species
ACUCAGCUCCAAUAUAAUUAUUGAUUGUAAAAUUUUUAUACAUAAUCAUAGGUUUAGUUUGUGACAAAUUGUGUGUGAAUUUUGUCAUUCAGUACGACAUAAAAAUAAUAAACUCCCUAAAUUUGCCGUCAACAUAGAUUUUGUUCACACACUGAAAUUGGAACUGACAAGAUAUCUUUGUAUACUAUCAACACUACUACAAUUUUUAAAUCCUGUGAACGAUGAUGUACUUCAACUUAUUAUGAACCUGAAGUUCCGAACGUUGGAUGCUCACGAAUUUUCAAUUUCCUUGAAAACAGAAAAAAAUAUUGCUAACAACAAAAGACUUCCUCUGGAUACCGAAGGCCAAGUUCCACCCUCACAUAUCAACCCUGUUUAAAAAAAAGUAUUAAGACGAAGAAAAAAGU